rnacentral:lncRNA from 1 species
CGGCGUUUGCACAGGGAGCAGAUUGAGUGGGAUCAGCGGGAUAUCGACCCCGGCGCAGGGGAGAUACAUGGCAUACACGGAAUAUUCAGGACACACGGAAUAUUGGGGAUCCGCGCUGGAUCCGCACGUGCAAUUCCCGUGGCGUGGCUCUCCGUGCACAAGAGGCCAUCCGUGCAUCCCGACGCCAUCUGGGGCGCCAAUUACCGGGAGCACGCACGGAAUCGAGGGAAUAACCAGCUUUUUCUCCUGAAGUAUCCACUAAAAAUGGCCCUGGAUACACAAGGAGGACGUGUCUGAUGGAUCAUUGCUGCACUGAGAGGAGCCGUGGG